AACACAUCUGAUCUGAAGAACCUGAAGAUUCAUCUAACCUCAAGAUUAAGCCUGACUGCAUUCACUUGGACUUUGCGAAGGUGCAUCGUAAUACAGAGGUUACUAUCCCAGACUAUAGACUGCAACCUGUCAUGGAGAUUCAUCAGUCUGCUGUGAUUCUGCUGUUGGUCGUGUGUGUGUCGUUCUCCACUCGUGUUCAACUAAAACCUUAUCAAAAUUUCGUCAAAUCGCAUGUGGCUCCUCUUAAUAUGAGUGUGAAGAACUGUGACAGUGUAAUCAGGGGGAGAAACAUCACUGCAACCGGCGGUCAGUGCAAACGUAACACCUUCAUACGAGCAAAUAUAACUGCUAUUCAGUCGUCCAUUUGUGCCAAACGAACUGGCCAGUUCAUGAGCAACAAGACAUAUCUUUUGGUCAAGUGUGAUUUAAAAGCUGGGACGAGACCCCCCUGUAAAUAUACAGGGACGUCGAUCCGUGCCCGUAUAGUGUUGGGUUGUGUCCGAGGCAGCCCUAUACGUUAUGUAGGCUACAUCACGUACUGAAGAAAGGCUGAAUAGAGCACCACAGAGCUUUAUUUGCUAAUCAUUUGUUCACUUCACCUUUCCAAUCUUUUUUUUUUCAAGUGCAAAAGUGAGUCAAUCAAUCAUGAAGCCAAAAAUAAAAUAGAUGAAUAAAUACAAAAUUAAAAAAAAGGAUCUCUGUCUUUAUGAGACGAGAAUAUAUUCUCUGUCUAUCAUCAUUUACCUUAAAAUGAGCAUAAUUUUAAAAAUAUCUUUACAAUAUUUCUGCAAGUUGAUGUACUGCUUUUCUUCAUGCACGCCUCUGUGUGUAAUUGUGUUUUUCAUGUGCAGAUUCGGCGAGUCUGAAUUUAAGCACUCUGUUAACACUUUUUAAGCAUUAAAAAACUUUUUAAUGGGAGUAGUGAAUGAGCAAAAACAGACGAGGGGAGAAAGACACAGAUGUUUUUACACCUGUCUGUAAACCUCAAUAAAACUUCUCUAACAUUAAA